UUGACUAUAUAAGAGAUAAUGCAUGUAUGUUCAAAAGUAAAAUGAAA
rnacentral:sRNA from 1 species